rnacentral:misc_RNA from 1 species
GUUGAAGAACGUAGCGAAAUGCGAUACGUAAUGUGAAUUGCAGAAUUCAGUGAAUCAUCGAGUCUUUGAACGCACAUUGCGCCCCCUGGUAUUCCGGGGGGCAUGCCUGUCCGAGCGUCAUUGCUGCCCUCAUGCACGGCUUGUGUGUUGGGCCUCCGCCCCCCGGCUCCCGGGGGGCGGGCCCGAAAGGCAGCGGCGGCACCGCGUCCGGUCCUCGAGCGUAUGGGGCUUCGUCACCCGCUCCGUAGGCCCGGCCGGCGCCCGCCGGCGACCCCCCUCAAUCUUUCCAGGUUGACCUCGGAUCAGGUAGGGAUACCCGCUGAACUUAAGCAUAUCAAUAAGCGGAGGA